rnacentral:lncRNA from 1 species
AUGGUCUUGGAUUGCAGGAAGCAGAUCUUUGGCCAACCAUAUUUCAGUGUAACAGAAAGGUCAGCUCCUGAGUCCCAAAGCUAUUUGUUUGAAACAGCCACAAUCUACAGAGGAGGUUAUUUCCCUACUCCAGGGUUUCAAAGGGCUGAGCUGCAGCUCUCUGGAAUCAUCCUUCACCACCUUGUUGCCGCUCAGGCCUACCAGUCCAUACCAACUUUUCCUGUGUUGUUCAACCUGUCGUGCAUAGUGCGUUCCCUAGUGCAGUGCUACAACUUCCAUAAUCCUUCAGGCAGGCAACUCUUUAAAAUGUAGUAAUUCCAGCUUCUGUAACUCGCAGAAACCUUCACCAGCUGUACUGGCUGGGGUUUCCGGGAGUUGCAAUCCAAGAACACCUGGGUUACACAAGGUGGGUGACCUAGACAAUACAGAUAAGCAAAAAAAAAUCUAUAAAUCCCAAAGGUGACCCAGGAUAGGAGUGAUAUUUCCACCAGCCAAUUUUGCACUGCAUUCAUGAUAGGUGAAGUGUUGCUGAAACAACAGUUAGAUUUUCUACAGAAAGCAAUGGGCAGUUGUAACCAGAAUACAGAACAGCAUUUCAAAGUUCUAACAAGUGGAACAUUAAGGCGUGUGGCAGUAUCCCUGACCUCAGUUAACCUUUAUUUCACCCUGCCAUGCCACUGCUGUUCAGUGACUGAACCAUUUGCUGCCUUUGAUAAAGUUGGGACUGAUCUGGAAAUUGCAUAUCAGACCUCACAGUGCUUCAGGUAAAAAAAAAUUUCCAUUUGCCUACACUUUCAACAAAUGCCCCUUCUCUAUUCUGUACACCAUUUCAGGAAUCUCAUUGUGCACUUUUAUUGUUCCAGCUUUUCACCUUAUACUUUUGCCUUCUGGACUUGACUGCAAACAGAGAGAGUGAUCAGUUACAGAGAAGACAGAUGCUUUUUCCUUGCAGCACAGAUACAUCCAGUUCAUUAGCAUGAUGAACUUUUAAGUUUAUCCAGUUGUCCUUGUUUGCAUUUAGCUGAUACAGAGAGGCUGUCAAGGCCUGUGGUUUGUCAAUACCAUAAAUUGCAGGCAGUGCCUUGUAGUCAUAAUUCAUAUGAUCUCUAGUCAGAGGCUUACCAUUUAAUUGAGCAGUCAUUUUAUGAUUCCAAGUUGUGAUGGACCUUCCAACAUGCAACAUAUUACAGUCAUAUUGUCAGUUGCCCAAACUCAGGGCUCCCUGGAACUAAGCGAGGCACCUUGCAGAACCCCCAAAAGAGGCACUUUGAUUUGGGAGACAUAAUUUAAAUUGCUUUGACCCGUUUCUGGU